CUACGGUACUCUGCAGUGGGGAAUAUUGGACAAUGGGCGAAAGCCUGAUCCAGCCAUGCCGCGUGUGUGAAGAAGGCCUUCGGGUUGUAAAGCACUUUCAGUGGGGAAGAAAGCCUUGGGGCUAAUACCCUCGAGGAAGGACAUCACCCACAGAAGAAGCACCGGCUAACUCCGUGCCAGCAGCCGCGGUAAUACGGAGGGUGCGAGCGUUAAUCGGUAUUACUGGGCGUAAAGCGCGCGUAGGCGGUCUGAUAAGCCGGUUGUGAAAGCCCCGGGCUCAACCUGGGAACGGCAUCCGGAACUGUCAGGCUAGAGUGCAGGAGAGGAAGGUAGAAUUCCCGGUGUAGCGGUGAAAUGCGUAGAGAUCGGGAGGAAUACCAGUGGCGAAGGCGGCCUUCUGGACUGACACUGACGCUGAGGUGCGAAAGCGUGGGUAGCAAACAGGAUUAGAUACCCUAGUAGUC
rnacentral:rRNA from 1 species